rnacentral:rRNA from 1 species
ACGGAAGCAAGACCGCCGUGGGGGNAAAGAAGGGCUCUUGGGGUUGUAAACCCCCUUUUUCUCUGGGAAAGAAAGUUGUGAAAGCAGCCUGACGGUACCAGAGGAAUCAGCAUCGGCUAACUCCGUGCCAGCAGCCGCGGUAAGACGGAGGAUGCAAGCGUUAUCCGGAAUGAUUGGGCGUAAAGCGUCCGCAGGUGGCAGUUCAAGUCUGCUGUCAAAGACCGGGGCUCAACCUCGGAAAGGCAGUGGAAACUGAACAGCUAGAGUAUGGUAGGGGCAAAGGGAAUUCCUGGUGUAGCGGUGAAAUGCGUAGAGAUCAGGAAGAACAUCGGUGGCGAAGGCGCUUUGCUGGACCAUAACUGACACUCAGGGACGAAAGCUAGGGGAGCGAAUGGGAUUAGAUACCC